rnacentral:rRNA from 1 species
GACGAACGCUGGCGGCGUGCUUAACACAUGCCAGUCGAACGGAAAGGCCUGCUUUCCCUUGUGGAUUGCGGGUACUCGAGUGGCGAACGGGUGAGUAACACGUGAGUGAUCUGCCCCCAACUUGGGUAUAAGCCUGGGAAACUGGGUCUAAUUCCCGAUAGGACUGCAGGGUGGUGCCUGUGGUGGAAAACGAUUUUCUAGUGGUUGGGGAUGAGCUCGCGGCCUAUCAGCUUGUUGGUGGGGUAAUGGCCUACCAAGGCGGCGACGGGUAGCCGGCCUGAGAGGGUGGACGGCCACAUUGGGACUGAGAUACGGCCCAGACUCCUACGGGAGGCAGCAGUGGGGAAUAUUGCACAAUGGGCGGAAGCCUGAUGCAGCGACACCGCGUGGGGGAUGACGGCCUUCGGGUGGUAAACUCCUUUCGACCGCGAGGAAGCCACCUGGUUGGAAGGGUGGUGACGGUAGUGGUAGAAGAAGCACCGGCUAACUACGUG